rnacentral:rRNA from 1 species
AAGGGGGGCUAUGCUGGCAUUGUUCCACCUGUUCCCAUUUCGAACACAGAAGUGAAAUAUGCCAAGGCCGAUAAUAGUCCUUUUGGGCGAAGGUAGGUAGCCCCCUUUA